UGCCCCAUGGCUGAGUUGGUUACAGCGUCCGACUGUUACGUUAGCUACAUCGGAAGGUCGUGAGUUCGAGCCUCACUGGGGCAG